UAGGGAAUAUUGGGCAAUGGAGGGAACUCUGACCCAGCCAUGCCGCGUGCAGGAUGAAGGCGUUAUGCGUUGUAAACUGCUUUUAUAUAGGAAGAAAUAGUCCUUGCGAGGAAAGUUGACGGUACUAUAUGAAUAAGCACCGGCUAACUCCGUGCCAGCAGCCGCGGUAAUACGGAGGGUGCAAGCGUUGUCCGGAUUUAUUGGGUUUAAAGGGUGCGUAGGCGGUUUAUUAAGUCAGUGGUGAAAGACGGUCGCUCAACGAUUGCAGUGCCAUUGAUACUGGUAGACUUGAGUAUGAUUGAGGUAGCUGGAAUGGAUAGUGUAGCGGUGAAAUGCAUAGAUAUUAUCCAGAACACCAAUUGCGUAGGCAAGUUACUAAGUCAUAACUGACGCUGAGGCACGAAAGUGUGGGUAUCAAACAGGAUUAGAUACCCCCGUAGUCCCUGAGCGGGCUGGCAAGGCGCAU
rnacentral:rRNA from 1 species